rnacentral:rRNA from 1 species
GAGUUUGAUCAUGGCUCAGAACGAACGCUGGCGGCAUGCCUAACACAUGCAAGUCGAACGAAGGCUCCCCUUCGGGGGAUGUCCUUAGUGGCGCACGGGUGAGUAACGCGUGGGAACCUGCCUUAGAGUGUGGAAUAACCACUGGAAACGGUGGCUAAUACCGCAUACGCCCCUCGGGGGAAAGGCUUCGGCCGCUCUUAGAUGGGCCCGCGUCCGAUUAGCUAGUGGUGAGGUAACGGCUCACCAAGGCGACGAUCGGUAGCUGGUCUGAGAGGAUGAACAGCCACACUGGGACUGAGACACGGCCCAGACUCCUACGGGAGGCAGCAGUGGGGAAUAUUGGACAAUGGGGGAAACCCUGAUCCAGCAAUGCCGCGUGAGUGAAGAAGGCCUUAGGGUUGCAAAGCUCUUUCGGACGGAACGAAACGGUUACGGUGAAUAAUCGUGACUAAUGACGGUACCGUAAGAAGAAGCACCGGCUAACUACGUGCCAGCCGCCGCCGUAAC